rnacentral:rRNA from 1 species
AGGGUUCGAUUCUGGCUCAGGAUGAACGCUGGCGGCGUGCUUAACACAUGCAAGUCGAACGGGAUCCAUCAGGCUUUGCUUGGUGGUGAGAGUGGCGAACGGGUGAGUAAUGCGUGACCGACCUGCCCCAUACACCGGAAUAGCUCCUGGAAACGGGUGGUAAUGCCGGAUGUUCCAGUUGAUCGCAUGGUCUUCUGGGAAAGCUUUCGCGGUAUGGGAUGGGGUCGCGUCCUAUCAGCUUGACGGCGGGGUAACGGCCCACCGUGGCUUCGACGGGUAGCCGGCCUGAGAGGGCGACCGGCCACAUUGGGACUGAGAUACGGCCCAGACUCCUACGGGAGGCAGCAGUGGGGAAUAUUGCACAAUGGGCGCAAGCCUGAUGCAGCGACGCCGCGUGAGGGAUGGAGGCCUUCGGGUUGUAAACCUCUUUUAUCGGGGAGCAAGCGAGAGUGAGUUUACCCGUUGAAUAAGCACCGGCUAACUACGUGCCAGCAGCCGCGGUAAUACGUAGGGUGCAAGCGUUAUCCGGAAUUAUUGGGCGUAAAGGGCUCGUAGGCGGUUCGUCGCGUCCGGUGUGAAAGUCCAUCGCUUAACGGUGGAUCCGCGCCGGGUACGGGCGGGCUUGAGUGCGGUAGGGGAGACUGGAAUUCCCGGUGUAACGGUGGAAUGUGUAGAUAUCGGGAAGAACACCAAUGGCGAAGGCAGGUCUCUGGGCCGUUACUGACGCUGAGGAGCGAAAGCGUGGGGAGCGAACAGGAUUAGAUACCCUGGUAGUCCACGCCGUAAACGGUGGAUGCUGGAUGUGGGGCCCGUUCCACGGGUUCCGUGUCGGAGCUAACGCGUUAAGC